rnacentral:rRNA from 1 species
AGAGUUUGAUCCUGGCUCAGGACGAACGCUGGCGGCGUGCCUAAUACAUGCAAGUAGAACGCUGAAGAGAGGAGCUUGCUCUUCUUGGAUGAGUUGCGAACGGGUGAGUAACGCGUAGGUAACCUGCCUUGUAGCGGGGGAUAACUAUUGGAAACGAUAGCUAAUACCGCAUAACAAUGGAUGACACAUGUCAUUUAUUUGAAAGGGGCAAUUGCUCCACUACAAGAUGGACCUGCGUUGUAUUAGCUAGUAGGUGAGGUAAUGGCUCACCUAGGCGACGAUACAUAGCCGACCUGAGAGGGUGAUCGGCCACACUGGGACUGAGACACGGCCCAGACUCCUACGGGAGGCAGCAGUAGGGAAUCUUCGGCAAUGGGGGCAACCCUGACCGAGCAACGCCGCGUGAGUGAAGAAGGUUUUCGGAUCGUAAAGCUCUGUUGUAAGUCAAGAACGGGUGUGAGAGUGGAAAGUUCACACUGUGACGGUAGCUUACCAGAAAGGGACGGCUAACUACGUGCCAGCAGCCGCGGUAAUACGUAGGUCCCGAGCGUUGUCCGGAUUUAUUGGGCGUAAAGCGAGCGCAGGCGGUUUGAUAAGUCUGAAGUUAAAGGCUGUGGCUCAACCAUAGUUCGCUUUGGAAACUGUCAAACUUGAGUGCAGAAGGGGAGAGUGGAAUUCCAUGUGUAGCGGUGAAAUGCGUAGAUAUAUGGAGGAACACCGGUGGCGAAAGCGGCUCUCUGGUCUGUAACUGACGCUGAGGCUCGAAAGCGUGGGGAGCGAACAGGAUUAGAUACCCUGGUAGUCCACGCCGUAAACGAUGAGUGCUAGGUGUUGGAUCCUUUCCGGGAUUCAGUGCCGCAGCUAACGCAUUAAGCACUCCGCCUGGGGAGUACGACCGCAAGGUUGAAACUCAAAGGAAUUGACGGGGGCCCGCACAAGCGGUGGAGCAUGUGGUUUAAUUCGAAGCAACGCGAAGAACCUUACCAGGUCUUGACAUCCCGAUGCUAUUUCUAGAGAUAGAAAGUUACUUCGGUACAUCGGUGACAGGUGGUGCAUGGUUGUCGUCAGCUCGUGUCGUGAGAUGUUGGGUUAA